CCUCCUCCUCACUGCUGGCAUUUAUAUCAUGUUUUACCAUUUGUGAAGUGCUUUAUACUUAUUUUCUCACUUGAUCCUCACUCACAACAGCCUGAUAAGGUAGGUGCUAUUAUUAGCCCCAUUUUACAGAUAAGGAAACAGAAGCUGGGGGAAAAAAGAUGAUUUGACCAGGGUCACACAGCUAAGUAAUUAGCUGAGGCAGUUAGAAGUCUUCUUGACUCUUAAGUUGAGUACUUUAUCCAUUAUACCUAAUUAUGAGGUGUAACAUUUCACGUGUGUGUAUGUAUGUGUGCAAAUAAAUAUGACCUCCAAUUCUUCUACACUUGGAUAUGUUGUAUGGAAGGUACACUUCAAGACUUAUUUUAUAUAUUCAUAAAUAUAGACGGCAGCAAAGCAUAGUUGAGGCCUGGCCUUGGCAUCAGGCAGACUUAGAUUCAAGUCCUACAUCUAACAUAUAUUAACUUUGUGACCCUGAGAAAGUCAUUCAGUCUCAUAAUGCUUCCAAGGCAAUUCUCUAAAAUAAUAAAUCAGUACAGUGUCUGGCAUGCAGAAAGCCCUUAAUAAAUAUCUGCUGAUGGAUUGAUUGAGAAAUUGAUUUAAAAGUUUCCACUCCAGGAGUUCCCUGUCCUUAUAAAAUCAUAGGUCUGACAAGAAAAAAAAAAGCCCACACGGCAUUCAUUUUUUUAUCAACAAAUAAGCAAAAUUUCCAUAAACGUUAUAUUAAUUUACACAUUACAUUGCUAACUUAAUUGUUUUCCUCUUGUUCUGGUUCCUAUUUUCCCAGGCCAGUUCUCUUCCUGAUCUUUUUACCAAUUUACCAGUUUUAGCUGUUCAGCAUUGAAAGAGGUUGCCCAGUAGAAUAUAAGUCCAGGAGGACAGGGAUCUUUAUCUGGAUUUCCUUGGUGCCUAGAAUAGAGUUUUGUACAGAGCAGUCAUUUAAUAAAUGUUUGCUGAAUUUAAUUAAAUUGUGAAAUAGUGGAUCAUUGAAAAUGUUCAAGCAAUGUCUGAAUUAUGAUCUUCCAGUGACCACAUCAACAAAUCUUUCAGGAAUAUUUUAAAGUUAAGAUAAAUGGCUUCUAACAGCCUUUUCAGGGUGGAAAGAAUGCUGACUCAAAGGUCAGAGGAUUUAAGUUCAAAUCCCAUCCUGCUUCUGAUGUCAAAAUGAAGGGAUGGAACAAAAUGACCUCUGAUCCCUUCCAGUUCUAGGUCUCUGAGUCUAUAAUAAGGAUAAUAACUAGCAUGUAUUUAAUCCUUUGAUAACUGCAAAGCACUUUAUAUAUUUAAUCUCAUUUGAACCUUACAACCACCCUGUGAGACAGCUGCUGUUAUUAUCCCUAUUUUGCACAUGAGAAAACAGAAGUUAAGUGACAUGUCUAGGGUCACAGGGAUGCUAAGUGUUUCAGGAGGUUUUCAAAUCCAUGUCUUCUUGAUUCCAAAUCUCCCUCCAAAAUUUUAAUUUCCAAAUUUCUUUUAUUAUCUCUGCCAAAGAGUGAACACUGAGAAAACUAAACCUUCUAAUCUUUCCCUUUACAUCUUCAGUACUAGCGUCUUUCCCAUUUUAAUCUCCAGGCUUAUGGCUUUGGACUUGAUUUUGUCAAGUUUUCUGGUAAACUAUUGUCUCAUUUUAGAUACUCACUUGCCUUUAAUUCAAUUCAAUAUGUGAAAUGUUUAUUAUACCUGAGUAAGACAUUGUGUAGUUCAUAUAAAGAUGAAAAACAACAUAGUCUCUGCUUUCAAGAAUCUUAUUUUCUCAGAGGUGGUGCUGGUGAUAAUAAAGGCAAUGCAGGAGACCAAAUAGUAUACCAUAAGAAAAAUAAGGAAGGAGAGAUGACUUUCAGUUGAGAAAAUUGGGGAAUGUGUCAUGUAGAAAGUCUUCCCUUAUCUGUAUUUAAAGCAAAGGAAAGACUUCAACAGGCACAAAUAUGGAAAGAAGUGUAGGGGAUAGGUUGUUUCCUAGAGGACUGAAAAGAGCAGGCCAUGAUUUAUUGGAAUUUUGAGAGUUAAGCUAGAAUGAAAUGAGAUGGAAAGAUUAAUUUGGAGACAAGUUGUACAAGACAACUUAACUUGGAGAUAAUCUAGGUGAAAGAGUGUAGAAUUGAUAGACAGCUGAUUGGAUUCAGGGGUGAGGAAGAGGGAAGAGUUAAGGAUGGCUCUGAAUUUUGUGGUAGGACAGUAGAAACAGGGUAAUUGGAGAUGAGGAGGCAGAUAUGGAAUUUGGUUUUAGUUUGUUGAGUUUGAAUUGUUUACAAACACCCAACUUUUUCUUAAGGCUAGUCUAAUGCCAUCUACCUGUGUUUUGACUGCCUGUGCUAUCUAUGACUAGGACUGGGCUGAACCUUUCAAUACAUAAUUCUUCUUUCUUAUCUGUAUCCUUUCCUUCUCCAAAAUAAGACAUAUUUUCUUAUGAGUGAGUUACACAGUCUUUAUGUUUGGAUCCACAAAUAUGAUCUUAGCUUUCUCUUUGGACUUUUCAGCUAUUAAUUUUCCAGAUGCUUUUUCAUCCCUGUUGUGCCCUCCUCUUUUGAGCCUGAAACAUUUUUCUUGACUAUUUACAACUCAAGAAAAAAGCCUAAGUAUAGCUAUAAUAUUUCUUUGCUUGAUCCUUAUAUUAGUUUGCUAUUACCCUUCUUUGUCCCUAAAGGAAAAGCACUUGACAUAUGGUUAAACUCUCCUGACCCUCAACCUCCUAGCUAGUUUGCUUGUAUUCUCCAACUCAAGCUUUUUCUUCUUUUAAAAGUAGGUUCCUUUUACUGGUGUUAAUAUAUCACCAAAAUACCUGUAAUCAAGUCACAGUGUGGUCUAUAUUCCCUGCUUCAAUUCUGAUGAGAAUGACCACCAUCUUUAUACUUUGCCUAGGUGUUAUAACCACAACAUUCUCCCAGAAUUCCUGUUUUAUUAUAGCCUGUUACUGCCUUAAAAAUAAACUUGAUUUCUCUGUUAUCUGAAACUCAUAUUGAAAUCCUUAUUUUCAUGGAUUUGAAUUAUAGUACUGCAAAUAUGUCCCUAGAGUUUCUCCUGAUUGAAUUAAUAAUCAAGAUCCUCACCAAUUUUAAUUUCUUGAUGCAAAUCCACAGAAUGGGUUUUUCAUUGAAGGAGCCCUCCUGUUGUACUCACUACAUCACAGUCAUGGAUGUUGUUUUAUCUUCCUCUGUCAUCUCCUACUACUGUCUUAAUGGAAUGAAAAAUGGACCAAUUAGCAAUUCCUACUUCUUUUCUUUCCUUCUUUCUUUUUUCCUUUUUUUAUUUAGAAUAUUUUUUCCAUGGUUACAUGAUUCACAAUCCCCCCACCCUCCAACUCUUUUCUUCCACCUCCCGAAUACGACAAGCAGUUCCACUGGGUUAUACAUGUUAUCAUUCAUUGUUCAAAAUCUAUUUCUGUAUUAUUCAUAUCUGUAGUAGAGCUAUCCUUUAACAUCAAAACUCCAAUCAUAUCCCUAUUGUACUGUGUGAUUAAUCACACAUUUUUCUAAUGCAUUUCCAUUUCCAUAGUUCUUUCUCUUGAUGUGGUCAGCAUUCUUUCUCCUAAGUUCCUCUGGGUUGUCCUAAAGAAGUCCAUUACAAUUGAUUGUGCCAUAAUGUAUCAGUCUCUGUGUACAAUGUUCUCCUGGUUUUGCUCCUUUUACUCUGCAUCAAUUCCUGGAUGUCUUUCCAGUUCACAUGGAAUUCCUCCAGUUCAUUAUUCCAUUGAGCAAAAUAGUAUUCCAUCACCAACAGAUAUCACAAUUUGUUCAGCCAUUCCCCAAUCUAAGGGUAUCUCCUCAUUUUCCAAUUUUUUGCCACCACAAAGAGCAUAUCUAUAAAUAUUUGUGUACAAGUCUUUUUUCUUAUUAUCUCUUUGGUUUUUAAACCCAGUAGUAGUAUGGCUGGAUCAAAGGGCAGGAAGUCUUUUAAAGCCCCUUUAGUAAAAUUCCAAAUUGCACUCUAGAACGAUUGGAUUAAAUUUAUAACUCCACCAGCAGUGUAUUAGUGCCCCAAUUUUGCCAUAUUCCCUCCAAUAUUUAUCAUUUUCCUUUGUUGCCAUAUUGGUCAGUUUACUAGAUGUGAGAUGGUACCUCAGAGCUGUUUUAAUUUGCAUUUCUCUAAGUAGGAGGGAUUUAGAACACUUGGUGCUUAUUGAUAGUUUUGAUUUCAUCAUGUGAAAACUGCCUAUUCAUGUGCCGUGACCAUUUGUCAAUUGGGGAAUUGUUUGAUUUUUUGUAAAUUUGAUUUAGUUCCUUAUAUAUUUGAGAAAUUAAACCUUUGUCAGAGAGUUUUGUUGUAAAAAUGUUCUCCCAGUUUUUUAUUUUUCUUUGUUAAAAUUAAUUGUGGUUGGACUCUGAAUAUUUAUAUAGGUGGUCACCAGGGAUUUAAUUUCUAAAUCCCAAAAUGAAUUACUAAGAUAACUGGAAUUUAUGGUAGUUUAUUUACUAUAUUUACAAUAGAAGGAAGAUAUUAAGGAAUGAGAGAGAGAGAGAGAGAGAGAAAACUCUGGCUUCUUCUGAAACCAGUUAGAAUCUUUAAGCCCCAGUCAGGGGAAGAGAGUUUCAAAAAGAUGGCCUUACCUGGAGGCUUCAUAACUCCAGAAAGGCGGGUCACUAAGUCAGCUUUUCACUCACCAAAGAUGACAGUCUAAGAGAAGUCUGGGUAUCUGUAUUUUGGUCACUCUUUAAGGGUCUGUCUUCCAGUCGCUUCUCCAAGUCAGUGCCCGAAUCCCCCAGUGACUCUCUGAAUGUCUGAAUCCAAAUGAUCAAAUGUCCAAAUGACCUCCUUCUGCCUUUUGGUCCUCUUUUUAAAGAUCUUUUUCUCUUGGGUCACCUCCCUUAAAUUUUCACAUCUACCAAUCACAGCAGAUGCUUUUCUCCAGGAUUGAUCAUUCUUUAGUUCUCACCUUCUCUGGUUAGAUUAUAUCUUUUUGGGUUACUUAACACCUCUUUUAUUAAGUUCACCUUUUGUAGUUAGCACCUUUUUGUAGUUAAUUCACCUUUUGUAGUUACUUAAUAUAUUUUUGUAGUUAAAAAUCUAAAAAUAGAUUGUAGCUUACAAUUCUAGCUUCACUAUAAAGGAAGAGCUAAGUACCUUCAUUGUUACAAUCAGGAGAUUACAGUUUUCAUAAUAAAGAAAGAGCUAAGUAUCUUCAUUGUUACAAUCAGGAGAUAGCUAAAUCCAAUCUUCGUACCUUCUAAUUUUGGUUGCAUUGGUUUUGUUUGUACAAAACCUUUUUAAUUUGAUAUAAUCAAAAUCAUUCAUUUUACAUUUUGUAAUGUUCUCUAUCUCUUGCUUGGUCUUAAAUUCCUUUCUUUCCCACAGAUCUGACAGGUAUACUAUGCUAUGUUCACCUAAUUUAUUUAGUAUUUUACUCAUUAUAUUUGCCAUUUACCCAUUUUGAAUUUAUCUUGGUACAGGGUAUAAGAUGUUAAUCUAAACCUAAUUUUUUUCCAUGUUGUUUUCCAGUUUUCCCAGCAGUUUUUGCCAAAUAGUGAGUUCUUUUCCCAAAAGCUGUGGUCUUUGGGUUUAUUGAACACAAGCUUAGUGAAGCUAUUUACCCCCUAGUCUAUUCCACUGAUCCUCCUGUUUGUCUCUAACCAGUACCAUAUUGCUUUGAUGACCACUGCUUUAUAGUACAGUUUAAGAUCUUGUACUGCUAGGCCCCCAACCUUUAGGUUUUUUUCAUUAUUUCCUUUGAUAUUCUUGAUCUUUUGUUCUUCCAGGUGAAAUUUGUUAUAAUUUUUUCUAAUUAUAUAAGAAAAGGUUUUUGGUAAUUCGUUAGGUAUGACAAUUCUUUUCUUUCUCACUCCCCUUCUCCUUCCCUCCCCCUUCUUCUCUUUCUCUCUGUGCUCUUUCCCAUUUUAUCUGCUUUUUCCAUUUGCUGGGAUAUACAGGCUAUUUAAGAAGGACUAGCACCUAUAGUGUGAGGGUUUGCUGAGACCUUCUCAGAGCUACUCAUUCAUCUUUGGAUGUCACCCAACUUGGAGCUGUGGCUCCAAGAAUAUGUAGCAUAUACAGUGGCCACAUCCUGUUAAAACCAUCACCAAAGAUGGGCUAAGCCAAGUUAAGGGUAACUGACAUGCCUCUAGCCCUUUAGUGAGUUAGGGAGUGUCUACCCCAAACAUGUGAAGACUUUACUUUCCCCAGUUGAAUGGGCAGAAGAGAACAACCAUGAAGGCAGCUGAAGUGGAAGCUAUGGAAUGCUUAGGAUUUGGUCAGACACUGAAGACACCAAAGUCAUCCAUUGCAUUCCAGGCUAUCAUCAGCAAUCUGGCUUUUGUUCUGCUACUGGAUUUUGAUGAGAUGACUUAGUUGAGGCUGACAACUUUGUGCAAUUCUGCCUUAGUUAUAGACAAUUCAUGUACAAUUCAAGAUAUUUCCCCAUGAUGUCAUUGGUUCUUUUCAGAAAUGAAGGAUAAACAACCAUAAUUAUCUAUAUUCACCAUUCUUCAAAAUUUUGGGAGCUAAUACAUUAGAGUUUUAUAUAUUCAAACUCCCACACAUCUGUUCAAACUAUUGUCAUUGCUCUCUUAGUACAUCAUCUUUCUCCAUCAAGUUCCUAAUUGCUUAGGCCCCAAAUCUAAGAGACUACUCUGUUCUAUCUCCUUCCUUUCUUGAUCUACCUAUUGGAACCAUUAUAAUGUCCUCUUGAUUACUUCACCCUCUUUUAUAUUCUCACCAGAAAUUGUCACGUUUUCUUUAUCCCAGAAGACUUUCUUGUCACACAAAUGAAAAUUUUUUUCUGUUCACAAUAACUUUAGGUAAGGAAAGGUAAAAAUCUCCAUUUCGUGGAUGAAAAAAAGUGCUAUACAUAUUUGGGCUGGAGUUAGGUUUAAAACCAGUUUUUUUGACUCCCAGGUUUAGACUUUCAUCUUUUAGACCAUUAUUUCUCAAGCUUUGCCCACUUGAGGAAGCUAAUAUUGGAUAGACUAUAUCGGGGAAUGAGGUGCUAAUUUGAUAUACUCCCUGCAAAAAAUAGACAUUCAGAGGUCUAGCUAUCUAUAUGAAUAGAAUGUGUACAUGAAUACAUAGUGGAAAAUGACCCUUCAUUGUCUACAACACCUACCGUUAGCACAUUUGCAUCCGUGACUGUCUGUCCAUCUAUACAGUGCUCUGUGUUACUAGAUAUUUGACUCUGAAAUUCAAUAUCACAUUAUAGGAAAAAUGUGCAUAAAUUUCCUCAAUUAUGGUCAAUAUGGGAAUACUCAUUUGGAAUAGGUAUGUAAUGACGACUACCGAAAGAGCAGUGUGAUUAUUCUGUUAGGGAUAUUAAGUGUAUUAAAAAAAAACCCAGAGAGAUUCUUUUUUACAAAGAUUUAAGGCUCAGUGAGAGAGAACAUAUAUAAGCCUGGGAAAAUAAUGAUGAGCUGAGAGAAGCUGAUGGCCCACACAGUAUCUGAGUGACCCUAGUUGUUAAUUAGCCCCACAGGACAUGCCCUGGAUGGUAAAUGUUAGCUUAUUGAAGGCUUUCAUGGCUAAUGUCAAAUCAAAAUUGUUAUUGCCAGUGCACAGGUUGUGGAAUCACCUUUGCGGAACAACUUGAAAAUGUCGUGGACUGGAAGAUCUUUUUUGCUUAAACUGCUCAGCUACCAAUGAUGUAUCUGAAAAGGCCCAGAAGCAUCACUCACUAACUUUGCCUCUUUUCCAAAAGGAAGUUGGCAAAGAAUCAGGAGAGAAUCUUUUCAUUUCAACACUGAUCCUGUAUAUUUGUUUGAGUGCAGAGAUCCUGUUGCUUAAGGAAUGCUGAUAAUGCUUAUAUAAACUUUGCCCACAGUUGUUUGAAAUCCUUAGACCUAGAAACAAUCUAGCAAGACUGCCAGAUUCUCAUUGCCUGAUUUGUUUUUACUAGUAUCAACUUUUCUCUUGGAUCCAUCUUUGCUUCUGCCUUCUGAGACAAAUAAGUGGUAUGGUCAAAAGCAUUCUGGACUUGUAGCCAGGAAGAUCUGAGUUCAAAUGUGACUGAAGACAAAUUCUGACUGGAUGAUCCUGGAGAUUCCAGAGACAGAACUACACUCCAUCUUCAUUAUUCCUCUCCAAGGUCUCCAUUAGUAUGAAGUGCACAGAACCUAUAAGUAUGGCAAACUGGAAGCCCUCUCCUUCAACAUCCAAGGAAAUCAGACUCUUGAGGAUACCAGGAAAAGAACAACAAGACUGCAUACACUAAUUGAAUGACAUUUGUUUUUAUUUGUUGUUCAGUUGUUUUCAGUCAUGUUCAUGGCUCUAUUUGGGAUUUUCUUGGCAAGUAUAUUGGAGUGGGUUCCAUUUCCUUCUCCAGUUCAUUUUUACAAAUGAAGAACUGAGGAAAACAGGGUUAAGGAACUUGCCCACAGUUAGUAAGAGUCUGUGACCAUAUUUGAAUUCAUAAAGGUGAGUCUUCAUGAUUCCAAGCCCAGUGUUUUAGCCACUUCGUCAUCUAGCUACCCCUCUGAAUGACAUGGGACUUACCAAUUAUAAUUCUUCUGGCAGUAUGGAGGACCCUGAAGCCUUACUCUCUGUCUUGAUACUGCAUCCUCUGAGUCUUAGCCCCUGCCUUGCCUCUACAUCUUCCAGAACUUGAGCCACUAUCAUCAAAUCUGUAGGGGUACCAUAUCAAUUAAUCAGUCUAUGAACAUUUAUUAAUCAUGUACUUAUAGGCUAAGUACUGUGCUAAGGAUACAAAAAGAAGUAAAAGACAGUUCCUGCUCUCAUAAUCUCUUAAGGAAGAUAGCAAGCAAAAAUACAUGCAAACAAACUAUAUACAGGAAACAAGGAACACAUUAACAGAGUGAAAGCACUAGAAUUAAGAGGGGUUGAAAAUGGCUUCCUGUAAAAGAUGGGAUUUUAGUUGGGACUUGAAGGAAGCCAGGGAGGUAAUUAAUCAGAGCAGAGGAGGGAGAGCAUUCCUGGUGUGGGGAGCCAGUCAAAGGCAAUUCCUAGAGCCAAGAUAUGGAAGGUCUUAUUCAAGGAACAGAAAGGAGGUCAGUGUCAUUGGAUUGAAAAGCAUGUGGCAAAGAAAAAGGUGUCAGGAGAUUGAAAGGAUAGGAGGAGGGUUAGCUUAAAAUGGCUUUGAACAUCAGAGAAUUUUAUGUUUGAUAGGGAAUCACCAGUCUAUUAAAUAGGGGAUAACAUGGCUGGACCUGUGCUUUAGGAAAAUCAUUUUGCUGACUGAAUGUAUAGAUUGGAGUGGAGAAAGAAUUGUGUCAGGCAAACCUACCAUAAGAUGCGAUAAUGAGUAUCUAUACCAGGGUGGUGGCAGUGUCAGAUGAGAAGAGGGUACACAUUUGAGAGGUGUUUCAAAUAUAAUAUCAACAAGCCUUGGCCACAGAUCGAAUAUGGGAGAUGAGAGGUAGUGAGGGGUUGUGGUUGACACCUAGGUUGUGAAACUGAGGGACUUGGGAGAAUAAUGUUGCCCUCUAUAGUAAUAGAAAAAUUAUGAGAGAGGCUUGUUAGUGGGAAAGAUAAUGAGUUCAUUUUUGGACAUGGUGAGUUUAAUAUGUCUAUUGGACAUCCAAUUUGAGAUGUCUGAAAGGUCAGCAGAGAAGUUAGGGCAAGAUAGGUAGAUUUUUAAAUUAUCAGUAUACUAUGGGAUAUGGCAAAAGCAGUGAUUAGAGGAAAAUUUAUAUCUUUAAAUGCAUAUAUCAAUAAAAUAUAGAAAGAACAGAUAAAUGAAUUGGUUAUACAAUUUUUUUAACUAGAAAAAGAAGAAAUUUUAAAUUCCCAAGUAAAUGUCAAAUUGGAAAUCCUAAAAAUUAAAGUUGAGAUAACCCAUGCAAAUCAUCAGCAUUUCUAUAUAUCACCAACAAAAUCCUAUAAGAAGAGUUAGUGGUAGAAUGGGCUAUAAAAAUACCCAUAAAUAGAAAAAAAUCCCUAGGAGCAUACCUGCCAAAACAAACACAAGAACUACAUGAGCAUAAAUAUAAGACACUUUUUAUACAAAUAAAGCCAAAUUUAAAUAAUUAGAAAAAUGUUAAUCAUCCAUUGGUAAGCAGACCUAAUAUGAUUAAAAUGACAAUUCUAUUUAAACUAACCUACUUAUUUAAUGUCAUCUCAAUUAAAUUACAAAAAAUAUUUUACUGAAGCAGAAAAAAUAAUAUCAAAAAUCACUUGGAAGGACAAGAGGACAAGAAUAUCAAAGGAAUUAAUGAAAAAAAUGUAAAGGAAAGGUCUACCUGUACCAGAUUUUAAACUGUAUUAUAAAAUAGUAAUUAUCAAAAUUAUCUGGUACUGACUAGGAAAUAGAAAAGGAGAUCAGUGAAACAUAAUAGACAUACAAUAAAGCAUAGUAAAACAUUAUAGUAACUAUGUUUUGGCAAAAGCAAAGAUUGAACCUUUUGGGAUUAGAAUUCACUAUUUGGUAAAAUUUUGGGGGAAAAAUUAGAAAGAAGUCUGGCAGAAACUGGAUAUGUUUCAAAACUUUAUACUAUUUACCAAGAUCAUAAUGGAUACAUGACCAAGGCUUAAAGGGAGAUAUUGUAAGCAAAUUAGAACAGAAAAUACAUUACUUAUGAAAUUUAUGAAAGGAAAGAAUUUGUAUCCUCAGUGCUUACCAGUGCCUGGUAUAUUGGAAGCACUAAAUAAAAAACACUUCAUUCAUUCUUCAUUUGUGCACUAGAAUUAAGAAUUGAGAAUCUUAAGUCCCUUCCAGCUCUGAAUUCUAACAGUGGAGGGAUAAGAUUUCUUGCCGACAAGUCCAAUGAUCUGUUGCAUCACUUCACUUUUCAGAUGAGGAAGUUCAGGUUCAGAAAAAUUGUGAAUCACCUAUAGUCAUACAGUUAGCAAUAGAAUGUGAAUAAAGUUUGUAUAUUAUUAUGAAAUUACAGGAUUAGAUUUAUAUAGAAUUGGAUUUUGAUCAAAUUUUUUUAGAAUGCUUAUUGAUAAACUGAUUGAUACACUAGGACAUGUUUAGCCAUUGCCCAGUUGAUGAGCAUUGUUUCACAUUUCUAACUACUACAAAAAGAGAGUACUGCUAUCAUUCUUUUGGUGUAUAUGAAUCUUUAUUUUUUUCAUUGGUCUCCUUGGGGGCUUAAGCCUAGCAAUGGAGAUUAGGGAUCAGAAGAUAUCUUGUGGUCAUUUUCUUUGCAUUUCUCCAAAUAGCUUUCCAAAAUAGCUUAACCAGAUCAUAGCUCCAACAGUGUAUUAGUAGGUCUGUCUUUCUACAGUCUCUCAAACAUUGACUAGCUUCAAUUUUUCUCAUUUCUGCCAAUUUACUCAGUCUGAGGUGAUUUUAAUUUUCCUCAUUAUUAAUUAUCUUGAGCAUUCCUUCAUAUGGUUGUUGAUUGUUUGCCAGUCUUCUUUGAGAACCAUUCAUUCAUUUGACAUUUUAUCUAUUGGGGAAUGUCUUUUGGUCCACUCCAUUUGUAUUAGUUGUCUACAUAUCUUUAAUAUUACAUAUUUGAUGCAAGAUAGUUGAAACUAAAAUUCCAAUAAAAACCCUAUAUUCUUCUUGUUCAAAAUACCUCUUCUGGGCCACUGCUCCCCCAUAUUUCUUAUCUUCCUUUUAAAGUAUAAGCUUCUAAGGUUAGGGAAUAUCUUGAUUUUUGUAUUUGUAUCCCAAACCCUAGAUGGAACAGUGGAUAGAGCACUAAGCUUGUUGUCAGGAAGACCUAAGUUCAAAUUCAGUCUCAGGUAUUUCCUAGCUGUGUGAUCCUGAAUAAGUCACUUAACCUUGUUUAUCUCAGUUUCCUCACCUAUAAAACGAACUGGAGAAAGAAAUGGCAAACUACUCCAAUAUCUUUGCCAAGAAAAUUCCCAAAUGGGGUCACAAAGAGUUGGACACUGCUGAAAACAAUAAAAUCCCUAACACUUAGCAUAGUAUAUAGUAAACACAUAAUAAAGACCUUUUUUAUUCAUUCAUUUUGUGUGAAACUGUAAUUCUUUGUCAUACAAGCUUAUUUUAAAAUUUCUAUCUAAUCUAAUCUGUGUAUUUUUAACAUGUUUUGAUACUUUUGAUCUUUUCUUUUUAUUAUUUUUAUCACUCAUGCUUCUCACUGAAAAUCCUCUUAUUCAUUCCAAUAGAAUCCCAUCCUUGUAACAAAUUAGUCAAAUUCAUACACUGGUCUUCUGAAAAAUUAUAUUUCAUACUAAUUUUGUAGUCCAUCACUUCUCCACUAAGAGGAGGAAAGCAUUGCUUCUCAGAAGCCUGCUUGUGUCAGCAUUGGUCUCUUGCUUGGAUUAAAGUUCUUCAACCUUUCAAUGUUGUUCCACUUUACUAUAAUCAUUAUUUAAAUUAUUCUGGUUCUUCCAGGAGAACAUUGUACACAGAGACUGAUACACUGUGGCACAAUUAAAUGUGAUUGACUUCUCCACUACCAGCAAUGCAAUGACCCAGAACAAUUUGAAGGGAAUUAUGAGAAAGAACCCUAUCCACAUUCAGAGUAAGAACUGUGGGAUAGAAACACAGAAGAAAAACAACUGCUUGAUCAUAUGGGUCGAUGGGGAUAUGAUUGUGGAUGCAAAUUCUAAACAAUCAUCCUGGUGCAAUUAUCAAUAAUAUAGAAAUAGGUCUUGAUUAAUGACACAUGUAAAACUCAGUGGAAUUGCACAUCAUCUAUGUGACUGGGUUGGGGAGAGGGGAGGGCAAGAACAUGAAUCUUGUAACCAUGGAAAAAUAUUCUAAAUUAACUAAUUAAAUAAAAUCCUCCCCCCAAAAUAAAUAAAUAAAUGAAUUUUUCUGGUUCUUCUCACUUCAUGCUGUAUCAAUUCAUACAAAUCUUGCCAGGUUUCUCUAAAUUUCUCCUUUUUUGUAAUUUCUUAUGGCACAAUAUUCCAUUAUAUUCCUAUACUAUAAUUUUUUUCAGGCUGCCUCCAAUUAUAGGCACUCACAUUGUUUCCAGUCCUGCUACAACAAAAAGUGCUUCUAUGUCUAAUAGUAGUAUUUUGAGACUAACAUUAUAUGCAUAGUUUCAUGAGUUUGGAGGCAUAGUUCUAAAUAAUUUUCUAGAAUGGUCGGACCAAUUAAGCAUUCUACAAAUAGUGUGUUAGCUUAUUCUCUCAAGGUUCUUAAUUAUUGUCUAAUUUUAUCCUCAAGAUAAUUCCCCAGGUCAUUCCUGUUUUUCCUACCCCAAGUAUACCUAAGUCUUUUCUCCUUCUAGUUUCUCAAGCAUGUAUUUAUCCUAUAUUAUGCUACAUGUAAUUAGCUAUGUUUUAGAGGGAUGUUCAACACACCUGAUGUAAUUUAGUGCAAUAAAAUUAUGUAAUUUUUUUCUAUUUAAUACUAUUACAAUGACUCUUUUUUCUGGUUAUGGAUCUCUUUUGGGGAGGCUCAGUAAUGCCUUAGCACAAUGUCAUCUAUUUCUGGAGGCCUCACUACUUAUAGGAAAUCACUUCUAUUUAGACUAUACACUAAGCACCUUUAAAGCAGUGGCAAAUAUCUUUAGAAUAGAGGUGUUGAACUCUCUACUUAUGGUUAGCAGAUGGCCAAUUUGACUCUGCAGGCAAACUCCCCAAUGUUACUUGAACAAGAUUAAAAUGUAAUUGGAAAAUAUUUAACAAAAUAGAUGAAACUACACUAUAUCAUAAUGUUAAUUUGUCAUUUUCUAAGACAGUAUACUUUGGGAAUCCAUUUCACUUGAGUCUGAAACUACUGCUUUGGAGGAUGUUACAUCUUUUGGAUGUUUUUAUUGUUAUGUCUAUCAACAAAUUUUGCAUUAUUUUAACAUAUCCAUGGAACACACCUUGUUGAAAGAGAGCUUUCCAAGACCACACUUUGUUCUACUGAAUUGUUAUUUUCUAAUGUCAUCAAACACAAUGGGAUUUUAUAUUUUCUAGACCCUUCAGUAAAUUGUGUGACUUUAAAUAUAUGAGUAUUACAUAUAAAAUACAUACAUGUAAGAUACAUAGAGGAUAGAUGAAUGCUAACUUUAGAAGGAAAGGCUUUAGCACUUAGAAGGGACUAGGAAAAGGUCUCUUAUAAAAGGAAGCAUUUCAGCUACAUCUUAGAGGAAGUCAAGAAUUCUUGGAGGCAGAGGAAAAGUAUUCCAAGCAUGGAAGACAAUCAAGAUAAAGGAAUGGAGAUGAGAGAUCAAGUGUUAUAUGUGAGCUAUAGUAAGUAGGACAAGAUACUGAGUGUCUUACAGGGAAGUAUAGUGGGAGAUAACUGGCAAUGUGGGAAGGGACUAGGUUGUAAAGAAUUUUAAAUACCAAACAAGUGGCCUUAUACUUGAUUCUAGAUGUGAUAGAGAACAAUUGGUAAUUAUUGAGUAUGUGUAUUUGUCUGGCAUGAUCACAUCUACAUUUUAGGUGGUUCCAGAAGUAGCACAACAGUUUUUAUUGGUAAAGGAAAUUUCUUCACUGGAAAUUCCUUAUACCAUUGAAAUCACUGGCAGGUCCUUACCUCAAUCCUCCCUACUUCCACUCCACCAAAAACAAUUCUUGGAAUUACAGAAUCAUAGUAUCAAAGAGAAACUAAGGCUACCAAGGCUACAACUCUUUCCUUCAGAGAUAUUAGUCACAAUAUUUGCAGAAUGUGACACUCUAGAAGUGAUCUGUCCAUGGUAGAGCUUAGUGGAGUUAUCAUCUCCUGUGUUUUGGACUCUAAUUCUCCAGGUGGAGUCCAAGAACCCAGUAGUUUUCUUGGCUGGUCAUAACAUACUAAUGACAUUUAGUUUACAAAAAAUCAUUAAAAAACCAACACUCUCUUUGAAAAUGAAGGACAAACAACAACAUUUAUUAUGACACCAAGCUAUUGAUCUUUGUUGUGGUCAUUCCACAAAUUCCAAAUUCAACUGACUAUGUUAUUUUCUAGCUCAUAUUUCUCUCCCUAGAUUGCAUGGAUAACUUGAAAGUCUUCAUCACAUGCUUUGUUACAAUCUUGGUGUAAACUAUGUAUACAACACUUCCUCAUUUUCCAGUUAAGCAACACUGUUAAAAAAUUUGGUUAAUCAAUUGAUCAACCAAUAAGCAUUUAUUAAGCUCCUAGUAUGGUUAGGCACUGAGUCAGUUUCUGGGAAUAAAAAACACAAAGAAUGUAACAAUUAAGAGAGCAUUUAUAAGCAGGAAAUAUCAGAACAUAGAGAAUAUGUACAUAGACAGUAAUUAAAAAUAAAUACAAAACAGUCUAAUAUAUUAAUAUAUCAUUAGCAGAAUCUCUGUAAUCAUGUCCCUAGUUUGUUUAGUAUCUUGGAAUAUCAUUCAUCUGGACUUGGUGUCUUCAAGUUGUUGAGAACUCCUAAGUAUUCUCCUCUUUUAUCUCGUGUUUCUGUCUUCUUUCCAUCAUCCAUUAUCCACAACUCAUCUCCCUCAUGUACAGGCCCAUUUCUUCUUUGAUCCUCUUCUUUUCCCAACCUAUCUUAAAAAAAACACAAAAACAAAUUUUAAUUAUUUUGUCCUAAACACUGAUCACCAGUAUCAGUUUAUAUUGAGCAUUAGCACUCCUGAUCCAUUCAUCUCAGGUUUAUACGACACGGUAGUAUUCAUCUUCAAUCACCUGCUUCUGAUGAAGAUCCCUAUGCAUGCAAAUUAUUGUAACAAACUAUUUCAUAGUAACAAAAAACUAGAAACUAAGGGAAUGCUCACCUAAUUGAUAAGGAUUAAACAAAUUCUAGCAUAUAAAUAUGAUGGAAUAUUAUUGCAUCAUGAGAAAGGAUAAAAUGGACAGUUUCAGAGAAAAUGGGGAUAAUCCAUAUGAAAUCAUGUAGAAUGAAAUGGGCAGAAUCAGAAGAAUAAUUUUUUGCAGCAAAAACAGUAUAAAGAAAAAAACAACCUUUAAAGACUUCUAGUCAAUGAAAUGACAAACUAUGAUUACAGAGGAUUGAAGAUGAAGCAUUCUAUUCACUACUGGUAAAAGAUGAUGGCUUCAAAAUGCAGAAUAAAACACUUGACUGAAUAUUUGGUUUAAGGGUUUUCUUCUUUUUAGUUUAAAUG